UCAGAUUGAACGCUGGCGGCGUGCUUAACACAUGCAAGUCGAGCGGUAACAGGCGUAGCAAUACGUGCUGACGAGCGGCGAACGGGUGAGUAAUGCUUCGGAAUCUACCCAGUAGUGGGGAAUAACCAACCGAAAGGUUGGCUAAUGCCGCAUACGACCUGAGGGUGAAAGCGGGGGAUCGCAAGACCUCGCGCUAUCGGAUGAGCCGAAGUCGGAUUAGCUAGUUGGUGAGGUAAAGGCUCACCAAGGCGACAAUCCGUAGCUGGUCUGAGAGGACGACCAGCCACACUGGGACUGAGACACGGCCCAGACUCCUACGGGAGGCAGCAGUGGGGAAUAUUGGACAAUGGGGGAAACCCUGAUCCAGCGACGCCGCGUGUGUGAAGAAGGCCUGCGGGUUGUAAAGCACUUUUAGUGGGGAUGAAAAGUUCGGGGCUAAUACCCCUGGACCUUGACCUAACCUACAGAAAAAGCACCGGCUAACUCUGUGCCAGCAGCCGCGGUAAUACAGAGGGUGCAAGCGUUAAUCGGAAUUACUGGGCGUAAAGCGUGCGCAGACGGUUCUGUAAGUCGGAUGUGAAAUCCCCGGGCUCAACCUGGGAAUUGCAUUCGAAACUGCAAAGCUAGGGUACGGAAGAGGGAAGCGGAAUUUCUGGUGUAGCGGUGAAAUGCGUAGAUAUCAGAAGGAACAUCAGUGGAGAAAGCGGCUUCCUGGUCCAGUACCGACGUUCAGGCACGAAAGAGUGGGGA
rnacentral:rRNA from 1 species